UCUUGUCUUCGCCAUCCCAUGAAAAGUCUGCUAACCGUAACUAAUAGCUAGCUAAAUCCUCCACAUUGAAGUGAAGUCAGUGGCUAGCAGCAUACUCCACAUACAAGUCGGUGGCUAUUAACGUAUAAAAUGUCGCUCUCAGGCGUACAGCUUUGCUGCAAAACGGAACCAGGGUUCAAGUGGAACAAUGCGAAUUUAAGCUGCAACUCAGCACAGAAUACAUUGGAAGACAUGGGCUGACCUGACUCAUCAUGCAGGAGCGCCCAGUCUAAAACACACCAUGUGGCAGAGAUCUAAGAAGUGCAGUAAUCCAUGGCUAUCACACAGUGGCCCAAAGAAACAUGGCUGCUACGACUGACCUCCAUACCGUUGAGGUCUGAGGAUGGUAGGCUUGCACACACUGUUAUGCAGCAUAAUUAGUUUUCCUGGCACUGAGAGUCAGCACUGCACUGAGGCACGGCUGAAUUCUGUUCCAGCUGCUCUGUACGGGAUACAGUCAGACACCAUGCUAAAGCCACAUCUCAUUACUGCUAGAUGACUGGAUGAGUGCUUCCCUCAGCCUCAUCCAACUGUACAGGAAUGAGUACAAUGAUAAACUUGGAAAUUGUAGAUGCUGCUCUGUCAAUAUUCGUGCUGGUUAUUUAUAUUUUUAAACUGUUUGCUCAGUUCUACAGAGCAACCGGUGGCUGCUUCUAAAGCAGGAACAUGAGAAAUGGUCAACUCCAAUCAUGCUCCACAAGGGUAACUGUCUUGUGCUAAAAGCUAGCACCAUCUGCCCUUGAGUGAGUGAUUUGUACUUGGAAGAUGUACCUCACUCUAGUGUUGUAAUAAAGUCUUCACUGUGUUAAA